CGAAAAGUUUGGAUUACGUUUGUAAUUCGUUUUAUAUUUCGCAUGAGUUUCUGCAUCGACACCACUUAAAUAUGAAUUUCAUCACAAAGUGGAAUUUGGCGCGUUGAAGAGAGUUGUCACAUACACACAGUGUGCAGAUUCGUGUGUGCGCUAUUUAUGUCGACACAAAUUGAUGUGUCAAACUGAUGCCGGUUGCACAUGCACAUUCAUAUUGAUCUGAGCAUUUGAAAAGGCAAGUCAUUUGUUGUGAAUACUGUUCGAUUUACAGUGAUUGUUUUUUUUUCUCAUUUUCUUCAUAAAAUUGGCCAAACUGACCAAAUUUGUAUGGGAGGUACCCUUAAAUCGCUUUCGAUUGGCUUCAAAAUUUCAUGAAUUAAGUUUUUUGGUAAAAAAAAUAAGAUUCAGAAAGUUUCAUGACAUUUGGAAUAUCACAAAUGGGAUUUCUAUUGGGAUUUUACUUUCAUGGUUUCAUAAAAAACUCAUUUACCUAUCUAAAUCUUGUGCUGACCUGAAAUUCCCAUAAACAAGCCACAGAUAUGGCUUUCGGCGCUUGAUUUGAAGCUGGCUAGAAGUUUUUGAUGGGCAGACUGUCAAAAAACGAGAUUUCCCAAAAAAAUUCACCAUUAUGUGAAAGUGAAAUACUGAGGGUUUCCGUAAACUGAUAUUCUUGCCUAUUUGAACCCAAAAAUGGUCAAAAGUGCUUGAUUUUUAUUACUGAUUUAGAUUUUUCGAACCAUUUUCCACAACUUUUGCCUUAUUUGACUCACUGUUUAACGUGAAAAAUUCUUAAAUCCCGCAUUUGAAAAUUAAAUGUUGAGAAUAUACGAAAAAUGAUAUUUUUGCAUAUUUGGACUCAAAAAACAUACAAAGUGGUUGGGUUUUUUACUGAUUUAGAAUUUUUCGGUCAUUUCCAACAAUUUUUGACUUAUUUGCAACAUGGUUUUGCGUGAAAAAUGCUUAAAUCCCGCACUUGAAAGUUAAAUCUUUAGGAUUUAACGAAAUUCGGGAAAAUCAUGAUUUCAAGGCCCCAUAAGGCUUAUCGGGUGUACUCAAAAGACCAGUUUUUCUUGUUUUCGCCCAAAUUUUACGUCCUACCCAAUCAGCUUUCAUUUUUUGGCUGUUUUCGCAAAGUUGAAAAUUAAAUUUUUGGAUUUAAUUAAAUCCGAACCACUUACAACGGGCAUAAGAGACCAGAAGUACCCAUGUAUUCUUUUCUGUGAUAAGACUUCUAUUUAUCCAAAACCGACGUGUUCAAUUAUUGUUUUACAAAACAGUAUCACCAUGGGAACGGUAAGCGCCUAAGCUAUUGGGCCAAGCAAAAAUGUAAAUAUUAUUGACCGUAAUAAGAAACGGGGACGUUAGUGUCGAUAUUUUCAGUUGGAAUAAAAACAAUUCGUUGAAA